rnacentral:rRNA from 1 species
CUGCUGCCUUCCGUAGGAGUCUGGGCCGUGUCUCAGUCCCAAUGUGGCCGGCCAACCUCUCAGUCCGGCUACUGAUCGUCGCCUUGGUGAGCCGUUACCUCACCAACUAGCUAAUCAGACGCGAGUCCAUCUCAGAGCGAUAAAUCUUUGGCAGUCAGAGCCAUGCGACCCAACUGCAUCAUGCGGUAUUAGCAGUUGUUUCCAACUGUUAUUCCCCAUCCAAGGCAGGUUA